UACGAACCACACGAACGUUAUUCGGAAUUACUGGGCUUAAAGGGUGCGUAGGCGGCGCGGUAAGUCGGGUGUGAAAUCCCUCGGCUCAACCGAGGAACUGCGCUCUAAACUACCGUGCUCGAGGGAGAUAGAGGUGAGCGGAACUUAGGGUGGAGCGGUGAAAUGCGUUGAUAUCCGAAGGAACACCGGUGGCGAAAGCGGCUCACUGGAUCUCUUCUGACGCUGAGGCACGAAAGCGAGGGUAGCGAACGGG
rnacentral:rRNA from 1 species